UACGUAGGGUGCAAGCGUUGUCCGGAAUUAUUGGGCGUAAAGAGCUCGUAGGCGGUUUGUCGCGUCGGUUGUGAAAACCCAAGGCUCAACCUUGGGCCUGCAAUCGAUACGGGCAGACUAGAGUACUGGAGAGGGUAACGGAAUUCACGGUGUAGCAGUGAAAUGCGUAGAUAUCGUGAGGAACACCAGAGGCGAAGGCGGUUACCUGGACAGUUACUGACGCUCAGGCACGAAAGCAUGGGGAGCAAAAGGG
rnacentral:rRNA from 1 species